rnacentral:lncRNA from 1 species
UCUUCUUCUUCUCCUUCCUCUCCCACGUUCUCUCACCCCCCGCCCCCCAUGAAAGCUUGCCUUGAAUUUCCAUAUAUUUCCUUGAAUUAACCUCGAUUUUUCAUGUUUUUGUGUACCCUUUCAUAGAGUUCUUUGUGCUCUUCUAUUUUUUCACCAUAAAACCCUCAAAAACCUUUCCUUAUUACACUCUCUCACUAGCUGGAUGUUCUAGAGAGAGAAAGUGAGAUUUUCAUGAUAGUUUCAAAACUUUUGGAAAAGAAAUUCAAUUGUAAAGCUACCAAGGUGAGUAGUGAAAUAGAGUUGAUUUCUUUUUAGUUGUUGAGAAUGGCUAGUGGCUAGAUUGGUGAGUGUUUUGUAGUUGAGGUGAGUUAUUCAUUGUAGUGUGACUAGAAUAAUGAAAAUACAUAGUCACUUAAUGGUAGAUGGAAG